GGGUUGUGAGGUUAAGCGACUAAGCGUACACGGUGGAUGCCCUGGCAGUCAGAGGCGAUGAAGGACGUGCUAAUCUGCGAUAAGCGUCGGUAAGGUGAUAUGAACCGUUAUAACCGGCGAUUUCCGAAUGGGGAAACCCAGUGUGUUUCGACACACUAUCAUUAACUGAAUCCAUAGGUUAAUGAGGCGAACCGGGGGAACUGAAACAUCUAAGUACCCCGAGGAAAAGAAAUCAACCGAGAUUCCCCCAGUAGCGGCGAGCGAACGGGGAGCAGCCCAGAGCCUGAAUCAGUGUGUGUGUUAGUGGAAGCGUCUGGAAAGGCGCGCGAUACAGGGUGACAGCCCCGUACACAAAAAUGCACAUGCUGUGAGCUCGAUGAGUAGGGCGGGACACGUGGUAUCCUGUCUGAAUAUGGGGGGACCAUCCUCCAAGGCUAAAUACUCCUGACUGACCGAUAGUGAACCAGUACCGUGAGGGAAAGGCGAAAAGAACCCCGGCGAGGGGAGUGAAAAAGAACCUGAAACCGUGUACGUACAAGCAGUGGGAGCCUCUUUUAUGGGGUGACUGCGUACCUUUUGUAUAAUGGGUCAGCGACUUAUAUUCUGUAGCAAGGUUAACCGAAUAGGGGAGCCGAAGGGAAACCGAGUCUUAACUGGGCGUUAAGUUGCAGGGUAUAGACCCGAAACCCGGUGAUCUAGCCAUGGGCAGGUUGAAGGUUGGGUAACACUAACUGGAGGACCGAACCGACUAAUGUUGAAAAAUUAGCGGAUGACUUGUGGCUGGGGGUGAAAGGCCAAUCAAACCGGGAGAUAGCUGGUUCUCCCCGAAAGCUAUUUAGGUAGCGCCUCGUGAAUUCAUCUCCGGGGGUAGAGCACUGUUUCGGCAAGGGGGUCAUCCCGACUUACCAACCCGAUGCAAACUGCGAAUACCGGAGAAUGUUAUCACGGGAGACACACGGCGGGUGCUAACGUCCGUCGUGAAGAGGGAAACAACCCAGACCGCCAGCUAAGGUCCCAAAGUCAUGGUUAAGUGGGAAACGAUGUGGGAAGGCCCAGACAGCCAGGAUGUUGGCUUAGAAGCAGCCAUCAUUUAAAGAAAGCGUAAUAGCUCACUGGUCGAGUCGGCCUGCGCGGAAGAUGUAACGGGGCUAAACCAUGCACCGAAGCUGCGGCAGCGACGCUUAUGCGUUGUUGGGUAGGGGAGCGUUCUGUAAGCCUGUGAAGGUGUGCUGUGAGGCAUGCUGGAGGUAUCAGAAGUGCGAAUGCUGACAUAAGUAACGAUAAAGCGGGUGAAAAGCCCGCUCGCCGGAAGACCAAGGGUUCCUGUCCAACGUUAAUCGGGGCAGGGUGAGUCGACCCCUAAGGCGAGGCCGAAAGGCGUAGUCGAUGGGAAACAGGUUAAUAUUCCUGUACUUGGUGUUACUGCGAAGGGGGGACGGAGAAGGCUAUGUUGGCCGGGCGACGGUUGUCCCGGUUUAAGCGUGUAGGCUGGUUUUCCAGGCAAAUCCGGAAAAUCAAGGCUGAGGCGUGAUGACGAGGCACUACGGUGCUGAAGCAACAAAUGCCCUGCUUCCAGGAAAAGCCUCUAAGCAUCAGGUAACAUCAAAUCGUACCCCAAACCGACACAGGUGGUCAGGUAGAGAAUACCAAGGCGCUUGAGAGAACUCGGGUGAAGGAACUAGGCAAAAUGGUGCCGUAACUUCGGGAGAAGGCACGCUGAUAUGUAGGUGAAGCGACUUGCUCGUGGAGCUGAAAUCAGUCGAAGAUACCAGCUGGCUGCAACUGUUUAUUAAAAACACAGCACUGUGCAAACACGAAAGUGGACGUAUACGGUGUGACGCCUGCCCGGUGCCGGAAGGUUAAUUGAUGGGGUCAGCGCAAGCGAAGCUCUUGAUCGAAGCCCCGGUAAACGGCGGCCGUAACUAUAACGGUCCUAAGGUAGCGAAAUUCCUUGUCGGGUAAGUUCCGACCUGCACGAAUGGCGUAAUGAUGGCCAGGCUGUCUCCACCCGAGACUCAGUGAAAUUGAACUCGCUGUGAAGAUGCAGUGUACCCGCGGCAAGACGGAAAGACCCCGUGAACCUUUACUAUAGCUUGACACUGAACAUUGAGCCUUGAUGUGUAGGAUAGGUGGGAGGCUUUGAAGUGUGGACGCCAGUCUGCAUGGAGCCGACCUUGAAAUACCACCCUUUAAUGUUUGAUGUUCUAACGUUGACCCGUAAUCCGGGUUGCGGACAGUGUCUGGUGGGUAGUUUGACUGGGGCGGUCUCCUCCUAAAGAGUAACGGAGGAGCACGAAGGUUGGCUAAUCCUGGUCGGACAUCAGGAGGUUAGUGCAAUGGCAUAAGCCAGCUUGACUGCGAGCGUGACGGCGCGAGCAGGUGCGAAAGCAGGUCAUAGUGAUCCGGUGGUUCUGAAUGGAAGGGCCAUCGCUCAACGGAUAAAAGGUACUCCGGGGAUAACAGGCUGAUACCGCCCAAGAGUUCAUAUCGACGGCGGUGUUUGGCACCUCGAUGUCGGCUCAUCACAUCCUGGGGCUGAAGUAGGUCCCAAGGGUAUGGCUGUUCGCCAUUUAAAGUGGUACGCGAGCUGGGUUUAGAACGUCGUGAGACAGUUCGGUCCCUAUCUGCCGUGGGCGCUGGAGAACUGAGGGGGGCUGCUCCUAGUACGAGAGGACCGGAGUGGACGCAUCACUGGUGUUCGGGUUGUCAUGCCAAUGGCACUGCCCGGUAGCUAAAUGCGGAAGAGAUAAGUGCUGAAAGCAUCUAAGCACGAAACUUGCC
rnacentral:rRNA from 1 species